CCUACGGGAGGCAGCAGUGAGGAAUAUUGGUCAAUGGGCGCGAGCCUGAACCCGCCAAGUAGCGUGCAGGAUGACUGCCCUACGGGUUGUAAACUUCUUUUAUAAAGGACUAAAGUGAGGCACGUGUGCCUUUUUGUAUGUACUUUAUGAAUAAGGAUCGGCUAACUCCGUGCCAGCAGCCGCGGUAAUACGGAGGAUCCGGGCGUUAUCCGGAUUUAUUGGGUUUAACGGGAGCGUAGAUGGGUUGUUAAGUCAGUUGUGAAAGUUUGCGGCUAAACGGUAAAAUUGCAAUUGAUACUGGCAGGCUGGAGUACAGUUGAGGUAGGCGGAAUUCGUGGUGUAGCGGUGAAAUGCUUAGAUAUCACGAAGAACUCCGAUUGCGAAGGCAGCUUACUAAACUGUCACUGACACUGAUGCUCGAAAGUGUGGGUAUCAAACAGGAUUAGAUACCCGGGUAGUC
rnacentral:rRNA from 1 species